ACAUCCCUUCAUGGAUACUUUUGGCGCCAACUAGGUUUCUGGGAUCACCAGCGAAGCCUUUUCGUAAUGUAUCUGAGGUCAGCUUUGUUGCUGGUAGAAUUUUGCGACAUCGCUGCUGUUAUUAGUUGUCAUGAUCUCCUUCAAGAACUCUGCAUGAAGUAGGAGGGGUAUUAGAUGUGAAGCAGUUGCAAAGAAAUGUGUUGCCCUCAUGGAUUAAUUGUAGAUUCAAGAGCUAGAUCGUUCUUUUAUGUUAUAAUCCUUUCAAGAAUCCCCGUCCAUUUUGAUACCUUGAACACAAUAAUUCCGCAACCAUGACCAAGCCUCCAUGCAGAUAUGUGCAUGAUUCGAGGUCCCCAACAGGAGUUUCCUU
rnacentral:lncRNA from 1 species